AUGUCAGUUCUUCUCAAGAUUAGGUAUGUAUGUCGGGUCAUCUCAAGAUUAGGUAUGUAUGUCGGGUCAUCUUAAGAUUAGGUAUGUAUGUCGAGUCAUCUUAAGAUUAGGUAUGUAUGUCAGGUCAUCUCAAGAUUAGGUAUGUAUGUCGAGUCUUCUCAAGAUUAGGUAUGUAUGUCAGGUCUUCUCAAGAUUAUGUAUGUAUGUCAGGUCUUCUCAAGAUUAGGUAUGUAUGUCAGGUCAUCUCAAGAUUAGGUAUUUUUGUCAGGUCAUCUCAAGAUUAGGUAUGUAUGUCAGGUCAUCUCAAGAUUAGGUAUGUAUGUCGAGUCUUCUCAAGAUUAGGUAUGUAUGUCAGGUCUUCUCAAGAUUAUGUAUGUAUGUCAGGUCUUCUCAAGAUUAGGUAUGUAUGUCAGGUCAUCUCAAGAUUAGGUAUGUAUGUCAGGGAUUCUAAAGAUUAGGCAUGUAUGUCGGGUCAUCUCAAGAUUAGGUAUGUAUGUCGGGUCAUCUCAAGAUUAGGUAUGUAUGUCAGGUCAUCUCAAGAUUAGGUAUGUAUGUCAGGUCUUCUCAAGAUUAAGUAUGUAUGUCAGGUCAUCUCAAGAUUAGGUAUGUAUGUCGGGUCAUCUUAAGAUUAGGUAUGUAUGUCGGGUCUUCUCAAGAUUCGGUAUGUAUGUCAGGUCAUCUCAAGAUUAGGUAUGCAUGUCAGGUCAUCUCAAGAUUAGGUAUGUAUGUCAGGUCUUCUCAAGAUAAGGUAUGUAGGUCGGGUUUUCUCAGAGCUUUUAGUAGGCCUUAUUUUUCAAAUUGGCAUUUAAUGUCGCAGGCACAGGCGUUAGGAUAGUCCCAGUCUCUAAAUUAUCUGUAUUUAAAAAUUUGAAUUUCAAUCAAAAUCGUAGUGUGUGCUUCUGUGAACUAUUGAUAACCGCUUAAACUGGACCAAUUUGCACUUUUUUCACCUUUACAAUGAUCCCAAUUUACCCUCCGACAUUUGAUAAACCCUAACAAAUCCUUUAAACUGCCACAAACACCUAUUCACCUCCAAUUCAAUGCGCCGUUUGCGUUGUGACAGCGCAUGCUACCGACUUGGUUUGUUUGCAGAACGCAAAGCACCAGUUAAUCAUGAAAUUAGUAAAUUCAGCAGGCAGGCCCUUUUUAGACAAAAUCUCC